GUGUGUGUAGCGCAAUGGAUAGCGCGUUGGACUUCUAAAUCCAAAGAUCGUUUCGAAUUCGACCAAGGAUG